rnacentral:lncRNA from 1 species
CACGCUUUCACCAUCACCAUUGCUCCAUCACUGAACUAGAUAUGAAAGCCAUGUCAUGCAGACAAAACUUAAGAAGGUUCACCAAGAUGCCAAACUGUGGCUGGCUACAGCUUCAGCACAUCUCGUAACAAUGCAGGCCAUGACAUGCCAGUGUGAUGGAGCGUGGUAUGCACAGUUCAGGAAAGAUGUGACAGAUUAACACUGCUGAUAACGGUUGCCACUCCGGAUAUUCUACUAAAAUCCCCUUCUUCCAAGUGGCUUAACUCUUGAGACACUGUUACUGUGGUGUGCUGACUGGGAUCUGCAACCUGUCCCCUGUGUCCACAUGGGGUAUGAAGAAUGCCGAGCAGUGCCCGCUGUGGUAUGUUCCCCUUCUGCACAAGUACCCAGCUGCAUUCAUGCCCUCGGCCAGCAGCCCUUCAAGGUUAGCCUGUGCAGGGUUCAGCAGAGGGUUUAGCUGCUUGCCCUGGUCCCAGCCUUCAAAUGGGAACUUACCUUAAUGUAAGUAGCGUGCUCUGAAAUUACACCCUCGCUUACCUUGCGGUAACUUGCUCGUGUAGUCAUGGCCUUAAGGUUUUUCUUUCGUAUCCAUGGCCACAACAUCUAAGCACUUUAUGGUACAGCAUACACUAAACAUUAAUUUCAAAUUAUUGAGACUAUUUUCAUGACUCAACAACUUUCUAAUGACUGUGUACCUUAUUAAACUCUUGCAGCCCUUUAAUAAGAAGUUUUCCCUCAUCCCUUGGCAUUUAAGCACUGUAUAACUGAAAUGAAAUGCAUAGCUGAAGUAUUUUUUUUUUAGGACAUUUGAUUUACAGUGAGCCCAAAGCAGCAAAGGACUCUUUGAAAAUCUCUAGAGUGGACACUCCCAGAGCUGUCUGUAUACACUUAGAAUUAAUUAUUCCCUUCAUGGAAAUUGUACAAGAUGUCCCCUAGGUUCUUUCUGACUGCCUUCCUGCCCUUUUCUGAUAAUCCCUCACUAUCCUCUGGGCUCUCUCUGGUCCUAAACUUAACAUAUAAAGCUAUUUUUAUCUAGGGGUUAGGGUGUGAAUAAAUUCAGAGAAUGUCUCUCA